ACUUGGGACUUUGAAUUCAGGC
rnacentral:miRNA from 1 species